rnacentral:pre_miRNA from 1 species
CAAAGAAAAGCCUGCCAAAUUAGCCAAAGGUGACUGCCUGAAAGACCUGAAUAAGGGUUAUUAGAAGCAGGCAGGCCAUCCUUGGCAAUCCCACAAGACUUUUCUUC